rnacentral:rRNA from 2 species
UACGGAGGGGGCUAGCGUUGUUCGGAAUUACUGGGCGUAAAGCGCACGUAGGCGGAUCGGAAAGUUGGGGGUGAAAUCCCGGGGCUCAACCUCGGAACUGCCUUCAAAACUAUCGGUCUUGAGUUCGAGAGAGGUGAGUGGAAUUCCGAGUGUAGAGGUGAAAUUCGUAGAUAUUCGGAGGAACACCAGUGGCGAAGGCGGCUCACUGGCUCGAUACUGACGCUGAGGUGCGAAAGCGUGGGGAGCAAACAGG